rnacentral:rRNA from 1 species
GCAUAUAAGUAAGCGGAGGAAAAGGAACUAAACAGGAUUCCCUUAGUAAUGGCGAACGAACAGGGAUCAGCUUGGGUUGGAAACCGGGGCUUCUGCCUUGGAUUGUGGCCUUUAGACAUACUACCAACGGCGGCGCGAGCGUAAGCCUCUUGGAACAGAGCGUCUACGUGGGUGAGAAUCCUGUAUUUCGCUUGAUGCCCGCCGUGCACGGUACUUGCUCUCAGAGUCACGCUCCUCGGAAUUGGAGCGUAAAUUGGGUGGUAAAUUUCAUCUAAAGCUAAAUACAGGCUCGAGACCGAUAGCAAACAAGUACCAUGAGGGAAAGAUGAAAAGGACUUUGAAAAGAGAGUUAAAAGUGCUUGAAAUCGCUGAACUGGAAGCGAAUGGAACUAGUGCUCUGGUUGAGAUUGCUGCAAGUGGCUGCGACAUCUGGGCUCUGGAACGCAAGUCCUUUGUCUGGUUUGAAGUAGUUGCUUGUAAUGUGUCUCAGCUUGAACAUCAGCGUCUAUGCAUACGUGAGGAUGGCCCUUAGCUCAUGCUGUGUUGCUGGGGCGAUACUCUUGUGCUUUUGGGGAUUCAGGUGUGUGUGGAUUGUUGAUCAAUUAGUUCCAUUCGACCCGUCUUGAAACACGGACCAAGGAG